rnacentral:rRNA from 1 species
CGGGAUUGCCUUAGUAACGGCGAGUGAAGCGGCAAAAGCUCAAAUUUGAAAUCUGGUACCUUCGGUGCCCGAGUUGUAAUUUGGAGAGGGCAACUUUGGGGCCGUUCCUUGUCUAUGUUCCUUGGAACAGGACGUCAUAGAGGGUGAGAAUCCCGUGUGGCGAGGAGUGCGGUUCUUUGUAAAGUGCCUUCGAAGAGUCGAGUUGUUUGGGAAUGCAGCUCUAAGUGGGUGGUAAAUUCCAUCUAAAGCUAAAUAUUGGCGAGAGACCGAUAGCGAACAAGUACAGUGAUGGAAAGAUGAAAAGAACUUUGAAAAGAGAGUGAAAAAGUACGUGAAAUUGUUGAAAGGGAAGGGCAUUUGAUCAGACAUGGUGUUUUGUGCCCUCUGCUCCUUGUGGGUAGGGGAAUCUCGCAUUUCACUGGGCCAGCAUCAGUUUUGGUGGCAGGAUAAAUCCAUAGGAAUGUAGCUUGCCUCGGUAAGUAUUAUAGCCUGUGGGAAUACUGCCAGCUGGGACUGAGGACUGCGACGUAAGUC